rnacentral:rRNA from 1 species
GACGAACGCUGGCGGCGUGCCUAAUACAUGCAAGUAGAACGCUGAAGGAGGAGCUUGCUUCUCCGGAUGAGUUGCGAACGGGUGAGUAACGCGUAGGUAACCUGCCUGGUAGCGGGGGAUAACUAUUGGAAACGAUAGCUAAUACCGCAUAAUAUUAAUUAUUGCAUGAUAAUUGAUUGAAAGGUGCAAAUGCAUCACUACCAGAUGGACCUGCGUUGUAUUAGCUAGUAGGUGAGGUAACGGCUCACCUAGGCGACGAUACAUAGCCGACCUGAGAGGGUGAUCGGCCACACUGGGACUGAGACACGGCCCAGACUCCUACGGGAGGCAGCAGUAGGGAAUCUUCGGCAAUGGACGAAAGUCUGACCGAGCAACGCCGCGUGAGUGAAGAAGGUUUUCGGAUCGUAAAGCUCUGUUGUAAGAGAAGAACGGGUGUGAGAGUGGAAAGUUCACACUGUGACGGUAUCUUACCAGAAAGGGACGGCUAACUACGUGCCAGCAGCCGCGGUAAUACGUAGGUCCCGAGCGUUGUCCGGAUUUAUUGGGCGUAAAGCGAGCGCAGGCGGUUAGAUAAGUCUGAAGUUAAAGGCUGUGGCUUAACCAUAGUACGCUUUGGAAACUGUUUAACUUGAGUGCAGAAGGGGAGAGUGGAAUUCCAUGUGUAGCGGUGAAAUGCGUAGAUAUAUGGAGGAACACCGGUGGCGAAAGCGGCUCUCUGGUCUGUAACU